rnacentral:rRNA from 1 species
AUUGAACGCUGGCGGCAGGCCUAACACAUGCAAGUCGAGCGGAUGAAGGGAGCUUGCUCCUGGAUUCAGCGGCGGACGGGUGAGUAAUGCCUAGGAAUCUGCCUGGUAGUGGGGGAUAACGUCCGGAAACGGGCGCUAAUACCGCAUACGUCCUGAGGGAGAAAGUGGGGGAUCUUCGGACCUCACGCUAUCAGAUGAGCCUAGGUCGGAUUAGCUAGUUGGUGGGGUAAAGGCCUACCAAGGCGACGAUCCGUAACUGGUCUGAGGGGAUGAUCAGUCACACUGGAACUGAGACACGGUCCAGACUCCUACGGGAGGCAGCAGUGGGGAAUAUUGGACAAUGGGCGAAAGCCUGAUCCAGCCAUGCCGCGUGUGUGAAGAAGGUCUUCGGAUUGUAAAGCACUUUAAGCUGGGAGGAAGGGCAGUAAGUUAAUACCUUGCUGUUUUGACGUUACCAACAGAAUAAGCACCGGCUAACUUCGUG